UUUCUUAUAACAGGCAGCUCUGGUAAGCUCUCUUCUCUUCCUGAGAAACAUUCUUUUCACCACCACAUGCUUCUUUGCAGCAGCUUGUCUAAGAGGCACUUCAGGUACAGUGAAUUAACUGGGCACAUCCAGCAAAAAACCACACACUGUGGAAAGUAUGCACGGUCGCUUGUUAUGAUGGGAUCAGAAGCUCUAUGCCUCUGAACAUCCGUCACUGGACCUGGUUGACCACUGCAGGAAACAGGGUUCAAGGCUUUUCCGAUGGAGAGGUACCGCCUUUAAAAGUGGUCUAAUAAUAAUUCAAAAUAAAUCAAUGAAUCAUGUUAUUUAUUAU